AUGGCCAAAGCCAGCAAGAAGCUGAACAUUAAUAAGCCGACCGAAGAUCCCAAGGUUGCUGACCCGGAGAAGCAGACAAUGUCUAAGUCUCUGUAUCAAACUUCUGAAGCAGCCAUGGAUGAUCUGCCGCCAGAGGAGCACCAUGUGACCAUGGACUCCAUGAAUGUUGAUCUGGAGAAUGCUAAGCCGCCCAGUCCUGCUCAGCCGGCUCAAGAAACCGAAGAUGUAAUAGUUACUGGGACAGCUUACACAGCGCCAGGUAACCCCACCGUCUUGUCCAAGCACAACGCCAAAGAGGAAUUCUCAGCUGUUGACAAAGGCAAGUGGAAACUGGAUCUGGAGAGCUAUGCUCAAUUCAAUGCCCAUGAGCUUCACGCAGGUUACUUGAACCGCCUUCACACCAGCCAUGACUUUGAAGCCGGCUUGGUUAAUCUCAUGAAGGAUCGUUUUGAGGAUGAAAUAAAUAUGAAGGAAUCCCAAAUCAAUGAUCUGAGGCAAAACAUUCAAACCCAGCAAUCUGAGACUUCUAAGGCCGAAUCAGAGCUGAAGACCGCUUUGGAAGAUAUUGAAAAGCUGAAAAAGGACUUCAGUGCUGAGAGAACCGGCUGGGAGUCCGAGAAGACAGCUUUAUUAAAGAGAGCAGAAGAUGUAGAGGCUGCUCUUAAACCGAUGACUGACAAAUUAUCCAUCUUAUGGCAGCAAAUCCACAACAUGACAGCUGCCAUCUUCGGCUCCAGAAGCUCCAAGCUGGGUCAAGACAUGCGCAUAAGGCUUAAAGUUGUGUAUACCCUUGUGGAGCAGUUGUACACUGGUGCUCAACGGGCUAUUUCUACUGCCUCCCAUAAGAAGCAGCCACCUUCCCUCAUCAAGGAAGUGUUGGAGAAACUAUCUGUGCUGCCCCAAAGGUUUGAAGAAUUAAAGAUAUCAGCCGCUAGAGCCGGUGAUAUUACCGCACUGAGCCGGGCAAAGGCAUGGCAAGUAGAACUUGACCCGGAAGAGCUGGCCACUGGCUACCCAAGUUUAAAGGAAGACGGGUCUCCCUUCAGCACCGAUGACUUCACCAAAAUAGUAAGAGAGAUGCAUCCUUUAGCAAGCAAAUUGGCUGAGGAAACUGAUCUCUCCAAGUAUCAUCUGGUUUAUGAUGCUGAAAACGUAAAAGUGAAAGCACCAGUUCAUGAGGCCAUGGACCUUAUCCCGCCAACACAUAAGCACACCUUCACUCCUGACACUGACCCGUCAACCCUUAUAGAAAAUGAAGAUGUUUUCAAAGCUUUGACUGGGAUCAAUUCGGCCACAUUUGACUUCCAGCCAACGGGUGAAGAAGAAGAAGAGCCGGUGCAAGAUAACCCGGAAUCUUCAACAUGCCAAGGUCAAGACAACUGA
rnacentral:rRNA from 1 species